rnacentral:rRNA from 1 species
GACGAACGCUGGCGGCGUGCUUAACACAUGCAAGUCGAACGGAAAGGCCCUGCUUUUGUGGGGUGCUCGAGUGGCGAACGGGUGAGUAACACGUGAGUAACCUGCCCUUGACUUUGGGAUAACUUCAGGAAACUGGGGCUAAUACCGGAUAGGAGCUCCUGCUGCAUGGUGGGGGUUGGAAAGUUUCGGCGGUUGGGGAUGGACUCGCGGCUUAUCAGCUUGUUGGUGGGGUAGUGGCUUACCAAGGCUUUGACGGGUAGCCGGCCUGAGAGGGUGACCGGCCACAUUGGGACUGAGAUACGGCCCAGACUCCUACGGGAGGCAGCAGUGGGGAAUAUUGCACAAUGGGCGGAAGCCUGAUGCAGCAACGCCGCGUGCGGGAUGACGGCCUUCGGGUUGUAAACCGCUUUCGCCUGUGACGAAGCGUGAGUGACGGUAAUGGGUAAAGAAGCACCGGCUAACUACGUGCCAGCAGCCGCGGUGAUACGUAGGGUGCGAGCGUUGUCCGGAUUUAUUGGGCGUAAGGGGCUCGUAGGUGGUUGAUCGCGUCGGAAGUGUAAUCUUGGGGCUUAACCCUGAGCGUGCUUUCGAUACGGGUUGACUUGAGGAAGGUAGGGGAGAAUGGAAUUCCUGGUGGAGCGGUGGAAUGCGCAGAUAUCAGGAGGAACACCAGUGGCGAAGGCGGUUCUCUGGGCCUUUCCUGACGCUGAGGAGCGAAAGCGUGGGGAGCGAACAGGCUUAGAUACCCUGGUAGUCCACGCUGUAAACGGUGGGUACUAGGUGUGGGGUCCAUUCCACGGGUUCCGUGCCGUAGCUAACGCUUUAAGUACCCCGCCUGGGGAGUACGGCCGCAAGGCUAAAACUCAAAGGAAUUGACGGGGCCCCGCACAAGCGGCGGAGCAUGCGGAUUAAUUCGAUGCAACGCGUAGAACCUUACCUGGGUUUGACAUGGAUCGGGAGUGCUCAGAGAUGGGUGUGCCUCCUUUGGGGUCGGUUCACAGGUGGUGCACGCCUGUCGUCAGCUCGUGUCGUGAGAUGUUGGGUUAAGUCCCGCAACGAGCGCAACCCUUGUUCACUGUUGCCAGCACGUUAUGGUGGGGACUCAGUGGAGACCGCCGGGGUCAACUCGGAGGAAGGUGGGGAUGACGUCAAGUCCUCAUGCCCCUUAUGUCCAGGGCUUCACGCAUGCUACAAUGGCUGGUACAGAGAGUGGCGAGCCUGUGAGGGUGAGCGAAUCUCGGAAAGCCGGUCUCAGUUCGGAUUGGGGUCUGCAACUCGACCUCAUGAAGUCGGAGUCGCUAGUAAUCGCAGAUCAGCAACGCUGCGGUGAAUACGUUCCCGGG